GGCCAUCUCAGGCAGUAGAGCACGAGACUCUUAAUCUCAGGGUUGUGGUUUCGAACCCCACAUUGAACA